AAUAUUUCUUUGUAGUUUUCUGACAAAGAAAAAAUCAUAUUUUUAAAUGCAGCAUGGCUUAACAUAUUUCUUUUUGUCUUCAAGUUAUCAAGAAAUGUUUAGACGUUAGUAUGAAAUAAUGAUGACAGUAACAUUAUAUACUUUCCUUAUUCUCUUCUUGGAAUCAGCAAUUUUCCUUUAUUGCACGCGGAGGAUCGAGAUCGGAAUAAAUAUAUAUUUACACUGCAGAGAUCACGGGUCAAAAAUUCAAGGACGUUUCUCGUGAUCUGAAACAACUCCUGCUGCAAAUCGUCCAGUACCAUCUUCGCGCGUUUAUGCUCCCAUUCCUGUUGCAAUACGACCUUUCGCAAGUGCAUGGAUUUGUGCAUCGCCGCCAGUUUGCGUUUUCCAGCUUCGAGGAUACAAUCGUUGACACGCAAGAGUUCUUUGCGCGGGACAAGAACGGCGUUCUUGUAGUCGGAUGGACAACCUUGCAGAGGCACCUCGAUCUGGCCCAUUUUCAGGACAAGCUGAAUCUCCAUUUUCUCAGCACGUUGCAUCAAGGACUUCUCUAUGUUCUCCAGAUAGGCCUUCUUGCAGACAACGACGUUGUCAGCUAAUUGCACCGCUUUUUGAUAAAACGACAACGUUUCUUCCGCCUCGGCUAUCUCUACCGCGCAGCAUCUCACCUUUAAUACCGACAUUCACAUUUUUGGUUUCUGGGCAUCGUAUCCAACGCAUCCAUGCCUCUGAGGAAGUCCAGGCAUUCGCGCGGUAAGAUCUCCGACAACUCGCUGGCCGCGACGCAUCUCGCUACUUCCGUCAGAUACGUGACGGACGUGGUGAUGAGGCGACCUGUCCUGGGUCGCUUCUUGUAAUGCCUGAGCAAGUGUUCCACCAGCGGCUGCUUUAAGUCCGCGAAUUCGCUGCGGAACUUGGCCUCCUGACGUUUCUCCGCCUUGAUGAGAUUGUCGUAACGAGACUUCAACUCCGCCACGACUACCUCGAGCGAGUUGCAUUCCUCGACGAGUUUGCGGGCCUCUCGCGUUGCCGGUGCCAGUUCGUCCUCAGUGAAACGGACGAUUUUUUGUCUGCCUUCGACCUCGGACCGGUGUCUCCGGAUCGUGCGUAUCCUCAUCAAUCUCUCCUGCAAGAUCGCGCAUUCAAUUUGUAUCUUUUUCAAUUCAAGAUCCUUUAACUUGUCGUUGAAUUCCGCGACGUCUCUCUGUAAGGCUUCUGAAAUGCGCAUAUAUUAUAUGAUUAUGAUGAAAAAAAAAUCAGUAAAAAAAGGU